UGAACGCUGGCGGUAGGCCUAACACAUGCAAGUCGAACGGCAGCACAGUAAGAGCUUGCUCUUACGGGUGGCGAGUGGCGGACGGGUGAGGAAUACAUCGGAAUCUACUUUUUCGUGGGGGAUAACGUAGGGAAACUUACGCUAAUACCGCAUACGACCUACGGGUGAAAGCAGGGGAUCUUCGGACCUUGCGCGAUUGAAUGAGCCGAUGUCGGAUUAGCUAGUUGGCGGGGUAAAGGCCCACCAAGGCGACGAUCCGUAGCUGGUCUGAGAGGAUGAUCAGCCACACUGGAACUGAGACACGGUCCAGACUCCUACGGGAGGCAGCAGUGGGGAAUAUUGGACAAUGGGCGCAAGCCUGAUCCAGCCAUACCGCGUGGGUGAAGAAGGCCUUCGGGUUGUAAAGCCCUUUUGUUGGGAAAGAAAAGCAGCAGGUUAAUACCCCGCUGUUCUGACGGUACCCAAAGAAUAAGCACCGGCUAACUGCGU
rnacentral:rRNA from 1 species